rnacentral:lncRNA from 1 species
AGAGGGUUGUUAUCGUUAUGUUGGGGGAUACUGGAAGAGAGGGAAAAAGCCAACUGGGAAGAGAUUCCAGAUAUAUUUGGACAGACUAUUGAUUUACAUCCUUCCACAGUGGAUGAAUGAUCCACUAUUUUGCUUAGUUUCUCUGUCCCGUCGAAUUGUGAAGGCAGAGUCAAAUGUUCCAUGGAAUUGUCCAGAUAUAGAAAAUGAAGUUUCGUGAAAUUUAGUGACUCUGCAAUGUUCCAUCUGUAGAUUUAUCGCUGUGCCGUUCUUGUAGUGAAGUUUCUCAUCUCGCUUGUAAGUUGCAAUUUUAUAGAUUGCUAAUUGGUGAAGGUUAAAGCAGAAAUUUGUUUUGCUUACACAUUUUGCUUCAAUAUCUCCAGAUUCAUGAGAACUGGUUGCAAUUAAUCUAAAGGAGAUGCACAAUUACUACUAUGCGCCUGCUUUAACCGUUUAAUUAACUUCUGUUAUAGUUCUUCACUUUGCUUUUAAUGCUGAAGUUGGAAAAUAUUAAAAAA